rnacentral:lncRNA from 1 species
UUUUUUUUUUUUUUUUGAGAUGGGAGUCUUGCUCUGUCCCCCAGAUUGGAGUGCAAUGGCGUGAUCUCGGCUCACUGCAAUCUCCGCCUUCCAGGUUCAAGUGAUUCCCCUGCCUCAGCCUCCCAAAUAGCUGGGUUACAGGACCCCUGCGCCAGCUAAUUUUCAUAUUUUUAGUAGAGACCGGGUUUCACCAGGUUGGCCAGGCUGGUCUCAAACUCCUGACCUCAGGUGACCCACCUGCCUCGGCCUCUCAAAGUACUGGGAUUGAAGGCAUGGCCAUGGGACAGCAUGAAACUUUUUUCUGAGACAGGGUCUUGCUAUGUGCCCAGGCAGGAGUACAGUGGUGUGACCUUGGUUCACUGUAGCCUCAAACUCCUGGGCUCAAGUGAUCCUCCUAUCUCAGCCUCCCAAGUAGCUAGGACAAUAGGCAUGUGCCACCAUAUCAAGCUAAUUGUAGAGAUGAAGGUCUCACUGUUUCCCAGGCUGGUCUGGAACUUCAAGUGACUCUCCCACCUCAGCCUCCCAACGUGUUGAGAUUACACACGUAAGCCGCUGCACCUAAAUUCUAACUUUCUGUAAUAGAUUUGUGUAUAUUUUAUGGUAGUAAAUGAUAAAAUAGACUAGUACCUAUAUACAUUUUAUGCGUCCAUGACACACCUAGCUUUUUCUUAAUUUGUUCAGUAUCUCUAAGGCAACAUGGUUCAGUUGUGAGUUUUUUCCAAUUGUCACAAAUUUCAAAAAAAAUUUCCAAUAUAUUUAUUGAAAAAACCCCACGUGUAAGUGGCCCCAGGCAGUGAAGACCUGUGUUGUUCAGGGGUCAGUUGCAUUUCCUCUCCCACACCUGCUUCGCUGGGCAUUCAGUCCCUUCCUGCAGAGCUGCCACAGUUGCCUGAGUUGCUGUUCUCUUCCUUGUGGGCCAUGGCUUCCUGGGAAGCUUCAGAGAGCUGAGCUGGCAGCUUAUGGGCACUGCUUCCUGGGCGCUCUGCCAGAGUGCUGAGUCCUAGGUCAUAGCAGAGCCCCCUAUGGCCAUGCCCUCAAAUCUCAGGUACACUCCUGAUCCCCACCACCAGCUCAUCCUCUUUUUUCUCUGGCAGGCCCAGCACCCUCCUACUGACCUUCUUGGUCCAGGGGCCAGGAGGGGAGGUGAGCACAGAUCCUAAGGAGAGGUGGCAGAGGCCUGUGCAUGACCUUCAAACGAGAGCAAAGCACCGGCCCUUAACAGGGAGGAGCGGGCUUAGAGAUUUUGGUGGGGGGUGGGGGGGCAGGGCUGGGGCAUCCAGGUUUUCUAGAGUUCUAGAGUAUUGAUCCAGAUGUCCCCAUCCCAGUGUAAGUGUCCCACAUUCCUAACUAGGACAAUGACCUCGGUAUGGCAGACUUGGUAAGGUUGAAAGUUCUACCUUCUUGGAGCUCUGAUGCCUUAAUAACAACCCCGUGCCUGAUCCCUUCAGCUUUGUCCACCCUCCUGCCUGGCCGCCAAGGAAGCCUCUAAUGGAUCUCACAUUGUGCCUUUUCUAGUGAUUAAUCAUGGUCAGCUUUUCAUUAUCUUUCUCCGAGGCAUCACCUAUAACCCCAGCAAAAUCUCUCUCAAGGUCAGUCACUCCUCCACUUACACUUCCCAAAGGCCCAGGGUACUCUAUUCCCUUCCCCAGUGUCACCAUGGCGAACGUUUCACAGUUCCCCUUUACAGCUAUCCCACUUGCCACUGGUGAUGGGGUCAUCGUGGCCAGCAGCGAGCCAGCUUACAGUCGGCUUCCUGGGACCACUCCCCACACCAACUCUCUCGAGCCAGGUGCCCCAAAGGCAGAUUUCAAAGGGCAUCAGCACCACUCAUAAGGGAGCAAGGGCUGCUGGACUGGGCAAGUGAGAGGUGGAACUGAGAAGCGGAUGCAGCAGAGGCCUCAGCCGACAGCACUGGUGCAGUGGAGCCAGGAUGGCUCUUUGGAGAUGUCCCAAAUUGAGGCAAGGGGGUUGGGGUCUCCAUACUCCCAUAUUGACAAGUCUCCAGACAUGGGCUGCCCCUGGAAGAAGGCGUAACUUUGGGCAGCUCCCUUCCACUGAACACAACUCCCAGAAAGAGUCAGCUGUGAGCUGGCCGCAGCUCCUAACAGUGAGUGUCCAACACUCCUGGAAAUGAGUCUCAGUCCUGAAAGGUAUCUGGAGUGUAGCAGUCUCCGUGACCGUCCACUCAGGCUGGUCCAGUCUCCCAGGUUUGGGACAGCCACAGAGAGGCUCCACGUACGGUUGGCAGUGGCACACUCAGGCUUAGACUCGCCCUGGUCUCCUGCUGUAGUGUUCCUAUAAUGCCACAGGUUUACUAAGAAGUGGACCCAGGGGAGGGGAAUCCAGGAUCAAUUGGAUAGAGUAGGUUAAAUGCAAGGAAUGACAGACAGCUGCAAAGUUUAAGGAAAGUGCCUGUUAAUGCACAAGCAAGAAUCAAAAAGAAGUCACAGAUUUAUCUUUUUAUGUUUUAAGGGACAGGAUUGGCUGGGUGUGGUGCCUCACGCCUGUAAUCCUA